UUGUAACUAACCAGGCUCGCACAUUUCUCCACUCCCACUCACUGGAAAAGCAGCUCUUUAUGAAGUCUGCGAAGCAUAAUUAGCCUGGUUUUGUUUAAAUCUGCAUCGCCGCACAGCCUGGCCCGAAGGACCUCAUCAGCCGCCCUAUGUCCAUAUCCAGGGUGUUUAAAACGCUGCUGGCCUCAAGAAGUCCAACUUUGGAAAGUCGAAAUAAAUAAAUAACGCAACUCCACA